UGGGGAAUUUUGGACAAUGGGCGAAAGCCUGAUCCAGCAAUGCCGCGUGUGUGAAGAAGGCCUUCGGGUUGUAAAGCACUUUUGUCCGGAAAGAAAUCCUUGGCUCUAAUAACAGUCGGGGGAUGACGGUACCGGAAGAAUAAGCACCGGCUAACUACGUGCCAGCAGCCGCGGUAAUACGUAGGGUGCAAGCGUUAAUCGGAAUUACUGGGCGUAAAGCGUGCGCAGGCGGUUUGCUAAGACCGAUGUGAAAUCCCCGGGCUCAACCUUGGGAACUGCCAUUGGUGACUGGCAGGCUAGAGUAUGGCAGAGGGGGGUAGAAUUCCGACGUGUAGCAGUGAAAUGCGUAGAGAUGUGGAGGAAUACCGAUGGCGAAGGCAGCCCCCUGGG
rnacentral:rRNA from 1 species